CGGCUUGACUAGCCCCCGCCACACCCCUAUACUGACAACGCCGAGGGAAUCCGUUCCAGCGGCUACAGCGCUAAACGGCGCCGCAGAAUAAACGCAGUGGACCCGGGGGCAGUACCCGGCGCCUCCACCAAAGACGGCCGAAAAGCCGUCCUUGACGGGGGCGAAACAGGAUCGACACGCGCAGUAAAAGCGUCUCCGGCGCUCGGCAUGGUACCGCCGUCAUCGGACCAAACGGAAUAGUUGCCAAUGACAACUACGCCGAGGUUGCCGUCGCCGCUUAGCGGUUGACAGCGCCUAAUCUCAAGUCCCUGGCGCCUGGCCGCGUCAGGGCGGGGCUCGGGACGCGCCUGGCAACAGAAGCGUCCCACC
rnacentral:tmRNA from 1 species